UUCAAUUUGUAAUUAAAAGCCUGAGCACACAUUGGGACCCCUCCUCAGGGGUUUUGCCCCUGGGUGUACCCGCUCGGGGACAGCUCCAACUCCAUCCAUCCAUCCCAGCUGAAUUUUGGGAAUUCAGCACGGUGCCCAGCGUGCCCUGGAUGGUGCUGGGGAAGGGGGGUGACCUGGGGACACCCCAGUUCAGGAGCCAGGUGGAGAGCAGGGUGGCUCCUUGAGCAUUCUGGAAUUUUGGCAAUGCCAAACCACCCCAGGAACUCAGGGGAUGCUCCCAGAGGGGCUGUUCCCAUCAGAUUUUACCUGGGGGGAGGAUGUUACCACAUUACCUGGCCCCCAAAAAUCUCCCUCUGUAUUUACCAUGCCCAGGUUUUGCUUGGGGAAUCAGCAAGGAUUGAAAACAAAAAGGAGCUGCUUGAGAUUUAAACCCAACGAGGCUGGAAAGCGAAAAAAAAUCCAGCCUGAAUCCCCAAGUGCUGGAACCAUCAAGAAAAAUCCCGUCUCGGCAGCGCUGCUCCCGUGCGUUCUGCUGAUCUGCCCCGCGGUGUUUGCAGCUCCUCAGCCCAGCAUCCUCCCCAGCAGCAGCAGGGAUGCGACUGGAGCCCGGGAGAUUCCUCGGGAUGGCUGCGGGGAAAGGCAGGAUCGCCCCCCAAACCAACCCCCCCCGGGGCACCAAGCUGGGCUUUGUCACCGAAUUAUUAAUCCGGGAAAAUACUAAAAAUAAAGCACUGGAAGAUGGUGAUGGGCAGUGAGGAAGAAAUCCCAGGUGUUCCUGGUCCAGCCUUGUUUGCACAACUCUGCCCUGUGCCAACACUUCUUUGUCAAGGAUUUCCCUGAACGAAGAAAAGGGGUGAAGGAUGCUGUGGGCAUCCCAGGAAAACACUGGGAAAUUGUCACCCCACUGAACAUUAGAGCACCAUUCCCUACUGCUCCAUCAGCACUUGCUGUAUUUCAAAUUAAUGUUGUUUCUGCAGAGGAACCGAGGUCCUGUUUUACCCCAUCCAAUAAACCCAAUCCUGGCUCACCCCAGAUCCCAUCCUGCUCCAAAGCCCAAGGACAGGUGCCUCCACCUCCAGCCACGAUUUUCUGCAGCACAGGGCACCUGUGCACCUUUCCUGGUGCAAACUCAGCCCUUGUUCUGAAGGGAUUCCCUAAUUUUGGUGCUUUGCAGAGAGGAGUCUCCAAAGUCAGGCAUCCCAGCUAAACAAGCCCCUCCCAGCCAGCUCCCCUGAUUUAUGGAAUCCCAGAAUGGUUUGGGUUGGAAGGGACCUUAAAGAUCAUCUCAUUCCAACCCCUGCCAUGGGCAGGGAUACCUUCCACUAUCCCAGGCUGCUCCAGCCUGGCCUUGGACAUUCCCAGGGAUCCAGGAGCAGCCACAGCCCCUCUGGGAAUUCCAUCCCAGCCAGGAAUUCUUUCCCAAAAUCCCACCCAAAUUCCCUUUUCCCAGUUUCAAACCACUCCCUGAGUCCUGGAAUUCCAUCCCUCAUCCCAAAUCCUCUCCAGCUCUCCUGGAGCCCCUUUAGACUCUGAGGUUUCCCUGGAAUUUCUCUUCUCCAACCUUUCCUUGGACUUUCCAGGCCAUUUACACCCCAAAAUUCUCCCAUUUACAUCCCAAAUCCUCCCAUUGCACGUGGCAGCACGUCCCACAUCCCCCUGAUUGCCACAGACCCUCAGCACACACUUGGAGCAACUUGUUUUAUGCCACCAGUGCUUAGAAAGAUGCUGCCCUGAAGGAAAGAAGGAUUUGGGCAGUCAGAGCAGGAAUUCAGGGCUCUGCCCAGUCCCUGUGUUCUGGGGAGCCUGGAGGUCCCCAGUGCUUACCCUGACACCAUCUGCUUGGCUCAUCACCCCCAAACCAAAAAUCU
rnacentral:lncRNA from 1 species